CCCAACACAGCAAAAAUAAAUAAAAUAAAUUAAUAAACUCCUACCCUCAACAUCUUAAAAAAAAAUAGUACUCACCCAGUGUAAGGCUAGGAGUGAGAUAUUUAGCUAGUAAAAAAACAGUGCUUAGUGGAAAAAAAAUAGCCCUGUAAAGGAAGUCCAGGCUUAGAUCUGCUAUUACUCUAGAGUCCAUCAAAAAGGUACUAAGCUAAACAUUCUAGUUAACGGCUCAGAUACCCACAGUCCCUAGUUAGUCCUAUGAAAAGCUGUCUUACUCAUCUCUGUACCCCCAGCAUUCCCAGCUUGGUGGCUAACUCAUAGUGGAUGCUAAGUGCUGAAAGAAUAAAUGUUUAUUAAGCCUGUAUUUCCAUGUGGUGGGAAGCAGUAUAGUGUACCAGUUCAGAGCACGAACUUUGGAGCCAGAAAAAGCUGGGAUCACAUCCUUGCUCUGCCAUUUACUUGCUGUGUGACCUUGGGCCAGAUACUCAAAUUCUCCAAGCCUCAGUUUCUUCAUCUGUGAAAUGGGGCUAAUCAUACCAUAUUUUUUUCAUCUGAGGCACCAUGGAUUUUAGAAUAUAGCAUCAUUUUAUGUGUAAUUCAUAAAGAAAAAUUGCUACCAAUUAAGCUAUGAUAUAACUGUCUUUAAAUUGAAGUAUAGUUGAUUUUUAAUGCUGUGUUCAUUUCUGCUGUACAGCAAAGUGAUUCAGUUAUACAUAUAUAUACAUUCUUUUUCAUAUUCUUUUCCAUUAUGGUUUAUCACAGGAUAUUGAAUAUAGUUCCCUGUGCUAUACAGUAGGACCUUGUUGUUUGUCCAUUCUAUAUAUAAUAGUUUGUAUCUGCUAACCCCAAACUCCCAAUCCAUUCCUCCCCUACCCUCCUCCCCCUUGGCAACCGCAAGUCUUUUCUCUAUGUCCAUGCGUCUUAAACUGUGAUAUAACUUGAUUGAUUAUAAGAUGUACCCUGUUUGCAAACACAUUAGAAUAUGGAAAAACAUGUGUGCUUUAGAAUUGAUGUAUUGUGCUGGUGCUGACCUGAUGUGGUUUUUAUAAAGUUUAAAUGAGAUGGCAUGCAUCAAACACCUAGCAAAUGGUACCUUUCAUAUAGUAAGAGCCUAAUAAGUAUUAGCUAUUAUCCUUAGCAAUUAUGGUCAUCUUGCAAAUCCUAAAACAAAUCAUUGUGUGUUGUUUUCUUUUUUAAUAUCUGAAAUCAAGUUGCAGAACAUAUCUACAGAGCCAGUGUUGAUUUUUGCAAAUAAGGAGUGAGGUAUCAGCAAAAUGUCUGUAUCAGACCUGUGAUUCUGACCAAAAAGCUUAAGUGUGACACUUGACAAAGGGCUUUUGGUGGGAAGUGUGCUUCCCACAUUUCAUGUCUUGAACAAAGGUAGAAUAAAGGCCCAAAUUAUGCUUAGUAACUCAACAAGUUGAAAGCCAGCUUUUAAUGCAGCUCUGCUCUGCUUGCCUGCUCCUGUGAUAGCUGAUAAUUUGAUGACUAGCUGAGCAGUUGCUCCACAGUAAACCACAGGAAGGCCUUUAUGCCCAAAGCCAGCAAUGCUUCAAAUGACAAUGAAGAGCUGUUUGAAGCAACAUGAUAUUGAUACCAGUUGCUCUGAAGGUAGAGCUAUAAGACAGCACCAGAGAAGGACAAAGCCUGGACAGAGAGAGUGUAUGUUAAAUUGACUGCAGUUAUAAGAAACAAAGCCCAAUGCACUUCAAGUGUAUGGAAGGACAGCUGACCAUUCUUUGUCUCCAUGGACACCUUGAAAGACUUCAUAAUACUUGUCCCAUCAUACCCCUAAGCACACGAUUCUUGCUAUUUAAUUGCCUGUGUGUCUAGCUGGACUCUAAGCUCAGAGGGGGGUGUGAUUGUGUCUCUCCUGCUCCCAUUCUAUCUGCAGUAACUAGCACUCAGAAGGUUCUAAAAUCUUCACUGGAUAAUUGAUUGAAUACUGUUUAACCUUAAGCAGAGGAGUGAAUAAUGUAUAAUGAUGCCAAACUCUAUCAAAACUUCAAUUUAAAAUAAAUCCAUUUGAAUUUGAACAGAAAGGAUUCGUCAAUAUGUAUUUGUCAAAAUUCUGCGUUAUGGUCUACCAUUAAGGCAUGUUCUUUCGAUUAAAGCAAGUUCCUGGGAAAUAGGUAUUGUGACGAUGGGAAGAGCAAUAGAGAAUUGUUGCAAACCACCUGUCCCUCAGCUUUACUCCAGGUGAUGGGGCAGAUUGUGAACACCUCUGUUCUCCUUGUUCUUCAGUGAUGUUCAUAGCCAUGUGAUGGUGGGCAGGUCACUUAAACUUGUAGUCUGAAUCGCCUAGUCUCUAAAAUGGAAAUGAUAAUAAUACCUCCUCAUGGGGUUGAUGUGAGGAUAAAAGGAAACCGUAUCUUUAAAACACCUAAUAUUAUUCCUGGUGCAUAGUAAGCAGUGAGUGAAUGGUAAAUAACAUAUCAUCAUCACAGUGGAAACACAUGCAUUCAUAUAUCUGGGUACAAAGAGACUUCGGAUGUUCUUAGGGGGAGAGAGAUUGUAUGGUGCCCUUGAAUAUUCUCUCCUGGUAUCCAAAAGACUUGGGUUUCUGAUGUUCUUUGAGGGACUCCAAUGAUACUCUUGCUAACACACCCCAUAUAUCUAUAGUGUCCCUUAGCCCAGUUGACUUUCCACCCCGACCCUGAAUCUAUACUGACCUUGUGCUCAGAGUGGGACCCCUGACUCCCUGACUGUUAAACAGUCACAUACUAUAGUUUUAUAGGAAUUAGAACUACUGCUUCUGGUUACUCCAGGGAUGGAAUACUAACAGGAUGAGAUGACCAAUGAACCAUGGAUUGGGAAUGUGUUCUGCUGCUGGACUAGGGGAAAAGUGACAACCCCAGUACCUAAGGACACUCAUUUCAUGUAACAUGAACAUGCUAGUUAACGGCACUGUUGUUGGUGUAUUUCCUUCUUUCCUGGAAUAUUUAAUGUCCCAGGACUGAAAAUAACCAGAGCCCAGAAAUGUGAAGCCAUGGUUCUCAAGCCGGGAGACCACAGGGGGAGACUGGGAAGAAGUACAGAUGCCUGAAUUCUAACUGGAACCAAGUAAAUCUGAAUCUUUAGAGCUGGGCCCAGAUGAGCACUCAGUGUUGAGAACAUUGGAUUUAGAGAUUCUAGGAAUCACUUUGUUUCUCAGCAUUCAUGUCUGUUUUCCUUAGCUGGACCCUUUCUGUUUUGUUUUUUCUUAAGUGUUUUAUUUGCUUUGAGUUUUUUUUUUUUCUUUUUUUUUUUUUUGCGGUACGCGGGCCUCUCACUGUUGUGGCCUCUCCCAUUGCGGAGCGCAGGCUCAGCGGCCAUGGCUCACGGGCCCAGCCGCUCUGCGGCAUGUGGGAUCUUCCCGGACCAGGACACGAACCCGCGUCCCCUGCAUCGGCAGGCAGACUCUCAACCACUGCGCCACCAGGGAAGCCCUGCUUUGAGUUUCGAUAGAGCUGCUAGGAGAUAUCAUAGAAGUUGACUAGCUAUGAAUAUUAAGCUGUGGUGGCUUGGGGGCCCUUGUAAGGAUGGACUUGGGUGCCUUCUUGGUACCAGGACCUGUGACACAAUUAUCUUCUGCUACUUAUUAUUAAUCGUUUCCUCAUUUACUAUAUUGAUCAGUUAGGCUUGGUUUGCUGUGGUAACAAGCAACCCCCAAAUCUCGUUGGAUUCCAACAAAGGUUUAUUUCUGGCUUACAUGCUUCAUGUCCGUCUAGGACUCAGGUAAAUGUAGCGAGGAAGAGAGCACAGAGGCCUGAGCACCGGUAUUAGAAAGGUGACAUGUGUCGCUGCCACUCACAUUCCUCUGACCCAAGCAAAUCAUGUGCCGUGCCCAGCUUCAGGGGGGCAGGGCUUGAAUUCCACCCUGGGCCUGGAGGAAGGAGGCCUUGUGAACAGUCCCAAAGACCCAGACACUGAGAGUGUCUUUUUGUUUGACAGCUAGUCAGUUUCCUUUGCAUUUGUCCACUUAUGAAAUCCCAAACUAGAAGAGGUUUUAUAUAAAGCUAUAACUUUCAGAUGUGUUCACACUUCACAUCCAGUGAGCCUAUCUUGCAUCCAUAUCAUUUAGUAUUUUUAAGAAAUUGGGGGGAGAGUUUUUUUUAAUUUAAUACUUAUUUUAGUUUUUUGUCAUAAUAUUAAUUUUAGGGUGGGAGAAUGGCCGCAGAGCUGCAGAUCUUCUUUCCUUUAGUAUAUUUGUUGAAGUCAUUAGAGGUGAUGGCGCACGCCAACGUGGAGGAAAUACUCCCUCAAACCACUGAACGGCUGUGCUGCUUGACGCUGUGUUUAUGGACGAGCUUGGCUGUCCUGCUACUACAUUUCUAGGCAGCGAGUGCCAUGGCAGGAUAUUGAGCAAAAGGAAUUGUUGAAAUUAACUCAGUAAAUACGAUUGUAAGAAAAAAUACACUGGAAGAAAAAAGUCGGGAAGGGCCUUUAGGUUGGAGAGAGCUGUUUGCUUUGCUCAUUUCUCAUACGGCCUGGCAUUCCACGGUUUGGAAUGGGCGUGGGUAGGACUUGCAGCUACUAGCUCAGGCGGUGUGUAUCAAGGCCUCUGCCCAUGUCGCUUCUCUUCCUGGUAAAGAACCCGGAUGGUCCCAAAUGCCAGAUGUUCCUGUGGCAAAACAGCAGAAUACUAGGGAGUGUUUCUCGCUGGGUCUGCAUUUGAGGUCUGGAGAGGCCUGGCAAGUUAGCACUGCAUGUUCUUUUCCCAUCAGCUCUGCAGCUAGCUUUGGCAUGUAACUUUGUGCAGGGGCUAACACAUCUUUGGGGAAGUCGACAAUGCCAGCCUGGAUGAUAUUACUUAAAAAAUUUCAAAACAUUCUGUCCUUUUUAUAGAAAUUUGCUUCACUGCUUCCUUUAGAGUGUAGGACACAUUUUACCGAUUAGAAUUACGAGAAAAAAAGCAUUCUUCAGUGCCACAUCCAGUACUCACUGCUUUUGAAGAAGGAGUGAUGUUUGACACAGAAAUGCAUCAGUGGGGAAGGGCACAUUUAACGUUUGUUGUUUGGGUUCAGCGCUGGAACCAAACCAGUUUUUCUUGUCUCCCCCUUUUUUUUUUCCUGUCUGAGUGGCAGAAAGCCCAGAAAUAUAAGUUUGCAUGCCAAGAGAUGGCUCUAAAUAUAGUGCUGGGUGGGCAGGAAGAUUGUUUCCUCAUGAAUGCAACUGGUGUGUGCUGAGUAUUCCUCACUACCCUCCAGUGGGAAGGGGCUGCUUUAGUUGCGCUGCUCUCCAGACGCGGGCUCUCCUUCUGACUGCAGAGGACAGAAACGUGAGCCUGAACAGGUUUGCUUUGCACUCGCAUCUCCAGCCAAGGGGUGUAGAUCAAACAAUCACCACCUAGCUGGCUUCUUUACUCUUCAGGAUUGAGACAAGUAAUUAAACACGUAACAAUGGCCAGCUUUUAGAGACUGGGGAGAAGGUAUUGUGGAUGCCUUGUUUAAACACAGAUUGUUUAUAAGAGGUAGAAAAAAUGUUGCUUUGCCUGUGUUUGCUUGGCAAUACAGGAGGGUGUUGCUGGCUACUGUCUACCAGCCACCUGUGAAACUUGACUAUUUUUCUCUUGUUCUCCAGGGUGGCUUUUUAUCCUUCCUACCUAUUUACUCUUGAUGCAGUUGAAAGGAAAUAGAGCUAGCAGGAUUAGUAGACCAGCUUGAAAGUGCCAACUUUAAAAGAUUGUUUUCCAGUUUUCCCCUAAAGCAGAGCAGGUCAGUACAAUAAAGAGCUUAGCUCAAAAACACCUCCCGAGCUCUUGCCCUCAGCAAUUAAAUAAAAUAUAAUUUAGAACCUCAGUUUAUAAAUCAGAUUGCCCGGAGGGAAUGGAGAAAACUGGUUUGAUAACUGUUUGGGUCCAGUUUCUUAUUAAAGGUUUACUUUAUCUCACAUUGCUUUUUUCAUUUUUCUCUUGGCAGUGGACAUAAAAUGACAGCUUUGCAGAUUAACGUGGACUUGGUUUUUAAAAUCAACGUUCAUAAAAUGACAGCUUGCAGAUUAACGUUGAUUUCGGUUUUGGUAAAAGCUUAUUAUGCCUAAGGAAAUACUGCGAAGUAGCAGGUACAUGUUAUAUAAUGCAAUCAUCUAUGUUGAAUGUAUUAGCAUUGAGCAGUUAAUCUCAGCAUGCUGUUGGUCCUAAACCAGUGUUUCUUAACCAGAAACAUGAACUCAAUAACAAAGAAGCAGUGGGAGGUUCCCAUCUCAGGAGAACCCUGGCUGACAAUGAGCUGUACCACUUGAAGGAGAGCGAAACUGUGAUCUGAUGCUGACCAACUCGGAGAGAGAGAGAAACCAGACGUGGCUUCUGAACAUACUUUCCUGCUAAAAGGCUGAAGAGAAGGAAAACAUUUUGCAGUGUAACUGAUCUGAUGAACUUCCCUAAGUUUGUUAGCACGUUAACCGUAUCUGCAGCUGGCCCCUUCCUUUGGACUACUUCCGUUUGUCCAUCUACACAGCAAACAGGACAAGGUCAGGAAGGAUGGGGAGAGAAGAUUGGAGCUUUGCUGCCUUCCUCUCCAGAGGAAAGGUUCGCUUCUGCAUCCCAGGGAGACAGGGUGUUCCAAUUAAACCGAAGUAUGGGACACCCACCCACCUGAGCCAUCUGGAUACCUGCCAUGUAAGAAAGGUUGACAGAAAGACUAAUGGUUUCCUGGAAUCUAGACUCCCAAAUACCCAAGAUUUGGAGAAAAUGACUUAUUAUGUAUGACCCAGAAACAUGAUUCCUAAUCCUUGGUGGGAUGAAAACAAUGCCCUACUAUAGAAACCCCAAAAUUAUACUCAUAGCCUGAGUGGAUCUCUGGGCUGAGCAUUCGUUAAAUAACCCAAAUUGGUAUCUGCUCUCAUCAUAAUUGCUCAUUAAAGUAGCAACAGAAAGAGGGAAAACUUUAACAUUUGUGGCUUUUCCUACAGUUCUAGCCUAAUCCCCAGGUUCUAUUCAGUCCUUCUGGUGUGAACCUGUCGUAUCUCGGCUCUUAGCCCUGGGUCUGGGCAUGAAGGGAUCAACCACUGUGAGUUUUGGUGUCUCCUGGUAGCCACUCAAGACAGUGUGGGAAACAGUGAGGAAAAGGAGUCACUUUCUUUUCAGGCAGGAAGUAUUUCCUGAGUACCUGUGUAUUAGGUGCUCAGGGGAGACAAAGUAUAUAAAACUAUGUCCCUGCUUUCAAAGUCUGAUUGACAAAGUCAGACAUACAUCAGGGAAACAAUAUGCCACAAGAUAUAAGCAAGCAAGCCCCGUAUUGCCCUUUCUAACAAGUUAUUGGGAAUUUUGUAGAAUAUUAAAAAUAUGUUUGAAUGGUACUAAAAACAAGUUCUUAGUAGUGCAAAGGUUAAGGGGCUCAGUAAAAGAACGUAGACUCUGAUCAAACCAACCUCAUGUUAAAUGCCAGGUCUUACUAGCUUUGCACACCUUUAUGUGCACACCUUUAAAAUAUGUCCACCCAAAUGUUCUCUACAAAGAAUCCCAAAUAAUUUAGGUAGAUACCCCUCCUCCAGGAGGUAGAUGUUAACUCCCCUCAUUUUGAGUAUGGGCUAGACGUAGUGAUUCACUUCCAAAGGAGAGAGCAUGGAAAAGGAAAAAUACUAAAUUUACAGUGGAGAAGCCUGGUAGAUACCCCUUUAACCAAAUGAUCAAGGCUGACAUGAUGAGAGAGACGUCAUGUUGAUUUUAUCUCCCUUCUGAAGGGGUGUGAUGAGAAAAGCACUUUACCUCUGUGGUGAUCCCUCCAAAAACGCAUAACCACAGUCUAAUCAUGAGAAAAUACAUCAGACGAACCUAAAUUGAGGGACAUUUUACAAAAUAAAUGACCAGUACCUCUUAAAACCAGUCAAGGUGUUGAAAAACUUGGAAAAAUUGAGAAACCAUCACAGGUCAGAGGAAACAUGGCAACUAAAUGCAAUGUGGUAUCCUGGAUAGAUCUUGGAAGAGAAAAAAGACAUUCAUGAAAAAAGUCGGGAAAUCCAAAUAAAGUCUGGAGUUUAGUUAGUAGUAAUGUACUAAUGUUGGUUUCUUAACUUUGACAAACAUAUCAGAGUACUGUGAGAUGAUAACAUUAAGGGUAAGUGAAACUAGGGGUGUACGGGAAAUCUCUGUAUUGUUUUUUCAACUUUUCCAUACAUCUAUUUGGAAAAUUGUUCCAAAUAAAAAGUUAAUUUUAAAAAACAUACGUCCGUUUAUUUUAUGCAAAUAUAUAGAAAGACCUCAUAUCAUACAUGGUGCUCAUUGAUAAUAAUGGUCACCUGGAGGGAAGGGCCUGGAAAUUAAAUGUGAUGGUGAAGUAAGACUUAGUUUUAUCAUAAUAUUUGCAUAUUUUACAAUGAGACUACAGUUACAUAUUCACUAUUAUUUGUAUAAUAAAACAAAACUUUAACAUAUUUUGGCAUGUUUAGACUCAGCUGGAAUGGGUUUCAGGAGGUAUCUCUAUCCAGCAGCUUAGCUAGUGUGGCAGACAGAAUAAUGGUCCCCCCAAAAUGUCCAUGCCCUAAUCCUUGAAACAUGUGAAUAUGUUACCUUACAUUGAAAAUGGGACUUUACAGAUGUGCUGAUUUAAAGAUAUUGAGUUGUGAGAUUAUCCUGAAAUAUCUGGGUGGGCCCAAUGUAGUCAUAAAGGUCCUUAUAAGAGGGAUGCAGGAGGGUCAAUCAGAAGCCGAUGUGACAGUGGAAGUAGGGAGAGAGACUGGAAGAUGCUACACUGGCUGCUGGCUUUGAAGAUGGAGGAAAGAGCCACAAGCCAAGGAAUGUAGGCUGCCCGUAGAAGCGGGAAAAGGAAAGGAACCGUGUUCUCCCCUAGCAUCUCCAGGAGGAAUGCAGCCCUGAUGAUGCGUUUUUGAACUUCUGACUUCCAGAAUUAUUGUAAUUAACAAAUUUGUGUUUGUUUUAAACGUAUAUAUACAUAUAUAUAUAUCCACAAAUUCUUGGAUACCUCCGAGUUUGACUGCCUUCCCCUUGGGUGGACUGUAUUUAGUGAGACUUCUAGCGAAUAAAAUGUGGCAUAAUUGAUGAUACAUAAUUUCCAAGACUACGUCAUAAAAGGCAAGUGACUUCCUCCUUGCUGUCUCUGGGAUCACUUGCUUUGGAGAAAGCCAGCUGCCAUGUUGUGGAGUCACUCAAGCAGCUCUGUGAAGAGGCUCACCUGAUAAGGAACUGAGCCCUCCUGCCAGCAGUCAUUACAUUUUCCUGCCAACCCCGUUGCCACUGAGCCUUUCUAUAAAAGGGCUGUCCAGCCCCAAUCAGGCCUUCAGAUGACUGCAGUCAUGGCUGAUAUCUUGCCUACAACCUCAAGAGAAGCCUUGAACCAGAACACCAAGCUAGGUGACUCCCAAAUUUCUGACCACAGAAACUGUGAGACACAAAUGCUUGUUGUUUAAGCCAUUAAGCUUUAGGGUCAUCUGUUAUGCAGCAAUAGGUAAUUGAUAUAGUAUGAAACAUGGUUAACAUGCUGCCUGGUAUACAUGUAUAAGUACUGAAUAAAUUAUAGUUUUUAUUCUUA